rnacentral:rRNA from 1 species
UACGUAGGGGGCUAGCGUUGUCCGGAAUCAUUGGGCGUAAAGCGCGUGUAGGCGGUCCGGUAAGUCCGCUGUGAAAGUCGGGGGGCUCAACCCUCGAAUGCCGGUGGAUACUGUCGGGCUAGAGUGCGGAAGAGGCGAGUGGAAUUCCUGGUGUAGCGGUGAAAUGCGCAGAUAUCAGGAGGAACACCAAUUGCGAAGGCAGCUCGCUGGGACGUUACUGACGCUGAGACGCGAAAAGCGUGGGGGAGCAAACAGG